UUUUACUUGCUUGAUGACUUCUGUUUUCAUUUUUCCUUUUGUUAUUAAGAUAUUAUCGAUCGUUACUGCUCGGUUAUAGAUACGUAAAAUCAUCCGAUGCAAAUUUGUCUGUUUACCCAAACCCAGCAUUAUUUUUAUAUUUCCUUUAUCAGUUAAAAGCUGACCCCCACUUAGUGGAAUAAGGCUUUGUUGUUGUUUUUUAUCUGCUAAAAGUUCUUAUUUUGC